UACGUAGGGUGCGAGCGUUAAUCGGAAUUACUGGGCGUAAAGCGUGCGCAGGCGGCUUUGCAAGACAGAUGUGAAAUCCCCGGGCUCAACCUGGGAACUGCAUUUGUGACUGCAAGGCUAGAGUACGGCAGAGGGGGAUGGAAUUCCGCGUGUAGGAGUGAAAUGCGUAGAUAUGCGGAGGAACACCAAUGGCGAAGGCAAUCCCCUGGGCCUGUACUGACGCUCAUGCACGAAAGCGUGGGGAGCAAACAGG
rnacentral:rRNA from 1 species